AACCUGUGCUGUUGCCAUGGGGUUAUCACAUCUUCCCAGGUGCAGGACUUUGCUGUCAUCUGUGUUGAAUUUCACCAGGUCUCUGCUGACCCCUUCCUCCAGCCUGUCUAGCUCUCUGGACAGGAGCCCUGCUCUCAAGUGUACUGACCGGUCCCCCUGCAGAUGUGAGGAGAGCGCACUCCAUCUCCUUGAGAUUAUUGAUACAGAUGUUAAACAGGACAGUUCCCUGCAGACACCCACAGUGCCCCACUUAUUACUGGCCUCCUUUUAAAAUGAAUGUCUCUUUUUCCACAUCUGGAAGCUUGUCCCACCCAAAGGUCCGGUUCUGACAGCAGCAAGUACACCAAAUGUAGGGAAAAUACCUCACCACCAUUCUGGGAUAAUCUUCAAGACAUAUCUUCCAUAUAGGGCAGUUGCCUGAAAAAAGUCAUCACAGCCAUGGUGUUUGUCCUGUGGCUUUCUGGGAAGAGUCUGUGCGCUUUGGCUCUCCCUUGGGAAGCUCCAGCCCGUUAGUAGCCAAGGUUAGAAGAACUAUACUGAUGAAAAACAAUAAGCGGUUUCUUUUGUACUUUAUGGCUUUGCGAAGGAUAGCGUGCCCAUGCUCAAGGACUUUAUUGUGGAAAAAGAAACAAAAUUGAAGGUGGAAACGGCAGAAAACCGAGCAACCAGUAAACGUGCCGCUUGGCAAGUCGUUCCCAUCAAGGACUGCUAACCCCCCAUGCCAAGGUCCUCUAGAAAGACUUGAUAGUAAAUACUGCACGGCAGACUUCACAGGACCGCGUCGUUAAAACUCGCUGUCGUCUUGGGUGCGUUGCCAAGCUCCUGUAGAAACUGCACAUGACACAACAGCGGAAUGUGCCAGACGAUGCAGAAACAUCUCGCUGUGCUGCAGCUGCGAGAGCAGGUUUUUCUCAUGCCCACACCUUCGUUGCUGUCCUGGUGUUGCAAUACGCAGGACAGCUUGAUGCUCGGCGAGACGUACGACUUUGAAGCUCAGCGGUUGUGGCACUUCUUGGAGCUGGGAGAAGAGAGCUAGCAGUUCCAAGAGCAUUCGUGCAUUUUACACAAUGACCUCUUUUAUAAGGAAAUACUUAGCACAGCCGGGCCUCUGCAUCCCCAGGAUGGUACAGGGAGGGUUAUGCUCCUCCUUUUGGGACCUUUUUGAUUUUCCUUGUUUUGUUUCAACAGAAAAAUGAAAAAUCCCAGAGUAGCCAGUGACCUCUUUCUUUGUGCCAAUCCUCAAAGCUACCAGGCAGCAACGGAGCUGGAGGCACUUCUCCAAAAUCCUUGGGGAGGGCCCUAGCCUCUGUAACCCAAAAUGGACAAGUAGGGGCCGAGGGCACCACAUUCUCCUUCCCCCCCCAUCCCUUUCUGACAUCGUUUUAAAAUAAAGCAAUAAACCAUUCCUCGUGUUUCCUAGAAGCAACACGGAAAGCUUCCCGCGGGUGUCCUGUGCUGCGACCUGGAGCAGGACGACGGCAGCGCAGAGAACAAGGGCUUACCCAGAGCCAAGGGCUUUUCUGCUUCUC